CGGAAAACACUAGUCAGCGCUUUCCGAAAGUAUUACAACAACAACAAGACUUAAAACUUCAUGAUUUCACCUUAAAAUAAGCCCUUGUUUAAACCCAAAUGUACUAGCUGUCCCUGAAGUAAACAUGUCGACUUUCAGAAGUACCAGCACGUGUAGGAGCGACUCCGACCCUCCACCCGGAUCAGAAACCGCUUCAGGAUCUUAAAACGAGUCGGUUGAAUCAAGCUCAAGGGCGGGGUUUCAUCCACAACCGAUCUUUGUGUUGUGUCAGAACAAAGUGUGUUUGUAAAAAUGAGAUCUGACAUAGUUUGGAUGUAAUCAGGUCAGAAAACGUCUGCAUAUUCCGUUAUGUAUUGUGAAUAUGCGGGUUUAGUGUCAUAAACAGCCUUAACCCCAUUAGAAAUAGUUUAUUAUAACCGCACUACUUUGACUAGAUUAGUACAGAUCUGCACAUAUUAUUACUUUAUGUAAACAUCCAGAUAUAUAUAUAAAAAAAAAAACAACUAAUUUGCAUCCAAGAACAAAAAUCGGGCUAAUUCACUAUCACGUGAAUGAGUGAAUGUUUUUUCCAUCUGUUGUGUGUGUGUGUGUGUUUGUGUGUGUGUAGUUUCAUCUAACAUACUAGUAAACACUGCCAUCUACAGACUAGAUCAUGUAGAAUAAAACAUGUUAGGGUAUUUUCUCAUGUUUCCUGUUAUCAGCACCCCACAGACUCCACACACCCUGCCACCACAACAAAGAAAAACACACAUUAAGCCAGAAAUGGUCACCCAUAAGGCAUCACAUUUAAUAAAUAUAUCUCUGUGGGUCAGCAUCAUCACCGGUACAGAAGUCAAAGACCCGAAUGAGCGUUCUUCACUGUCAGCCGCUUCUUUUUCAUCACACUUUGGUACAUCUUUUUCCACACUUUUUGCCUUUUACAUUCUGCUUGUCAACAAUCACAUCUGUCAAAAGCUCCUGAGCGUCCUGAAACUAUAUCUAUACAGUGAAUAGAC